rnacentral:rRNA from 2 species
ACGACUCUCGGCAAUGGAUAUCUCGGUUCUCGCAUCGAUGAAGAACGUAGCGAAAUGCGAUACUUGGUGUGAAUUGCAGAAUCCCGUGAACCAUCGAGUCUUUGAACGCAAGUUGCGCCUAAAGCCGUUAGGCUGAAGGCACGUCUGCUUGGGUGUCACG